rnacentral:rRNA from 1 species
AUGUCGGCCCGGGUUCUCUGUCAUAUGGAUGCUAGCGACACUAUCAUAUACAUUGCCGCACAGGAAACCUGCCGAGCCGACAUUGACGCCAAGUGCGGCGAUGCCGCUUCCAAUGAUUGUGAGGGCAAGUUCUUCCCGGGCUUUACCAAGAUCAAUUAUGAGGGUCCAACUAGCAAGAGUCCGCUUGCUUACAAGUGGUAUAACACAGAGGAAGUGAUUCUUAUAAAGAAAAUGAAAGUUUGGUUGUGGUUCAGUGUGGCAUUCUGGCAUACGUUCCGAGAUACCGGAGGAGAUCCUUUUGGUUCACCUACAAAGAACUGGCCUUGGGAGGAUGGCAUGAAUUCCCUGGCCAUGGCUACGAGAACUAUGGGACUUACCCGAUCUUGUAUUUCUGUUUUGGUGAAAGCUCAAUUCAAGUUCAUGGAGAAGCUUGGAGUUGACAGGUGGUACUUCCGUGACAGGGACAUCACCCCUGAUGGAAAAACACUCGCGUCAUGUGAUAAAUCCCGGCCUAAUCUCUCAUCGUUUGGGAUGAUGAUCUAUGAUAUUUAUUACUUAUUGAUAGAGCUGACAUGUGAUUUAAAUGCUAAUGAGGGUAGUUUAGGUUUCAUUGUCUUUAAUAAUUUUUGGCUUGGCCGUCAGGGUACUGCAAUGCUAUGGGUUGAUAAAGGAAGAAGGGAAACAAACGAGAAAGCAAGACAGAAUUGGCAGAAUCACGACAAAGGACGUACCCUGCAAUGA